AUCCCAUUAUGAGGACACUUACAAAGAAAUUCCUUGAAUCGUUCGCAUGCCUUAUAUAAGGACUCGUCUUCCAAUUGUUGGAAAGUAGUUACUCAUUUUCCAACUUU
rfam:Gossypium raimondii Chr08_contig_583, whole genome shotgun sequence.